GUGAGUAGCGUGUCUCCACGUGACCGGAUCUUGUUAGCCGGGCCCGCCCCUGUCACGUGAGCGCGCGCGCGCCUCUCUUCCUGCUUUCCUGACCCUCUCCGCCAUUUAAAGAAACAGUACCGGGGGCGGGCCGAGCGACGCAGCCGGGACGGUAGCUGCGGCGCAGACCGGAGGAGCCAUCUUGUCUCGUCGCCGGGGAGUCAGGCCCCUAACUCGAAGAAGCCCUGGCGCGCCCUCCCCCCCUUCCCGGUCUGCAUUUUGUGAACACCUUAUUCUUAGAUCAUUGGUUUUCCAAAGGCUUUGUGGCCGUGAAGCCCUUUGAAUGAAAACUGUGUGGAAGCCCAGAGUAAGAGUGAAGCUGCUCUGGAUGAAGCAGGAGUAGGGGGCCUGAAACCUGCCACAAGCAUCUUCUUUUACCACCAUGGUGACACCUAAGGAGACUUCUUUACAACAGCUAGAAUUCUGCAGAACACAGUUUGAAAACCACUGCCCUAGACAGCAAUAUGUUCGACCUGAAUGACAUUUUCAUCUAUACCUCUGCCGAAACAGUCCAAGUUCAGUUGUUGCCGAACAUUCUAAGGGAUACUAACUAUGAGCCAACUCAGAAAAGGCCAAGAAGAUGGGCGUGUCUUUGCCCCCCAGAGUCAUAUGGGCUGAAAGUGGUAUCAGAUGGACCUAGAUUAACAGCCCUCUGCCCUAGAUGGACUUCCACUCAUUCCUGGAAUUGGAUAGAACCAGAGAACAAUUCAUAUGUACUCUACACUGACAAACCCCUUUACCCAACUUCUUUCACACACACCAGAUGUUCUAGUGGUACUUGAAAUACAUGACUUGGAAGUCUUGAUCCUCCUUAGAUACCUGAAUUGCCAGGUAUUGAAGCUGAUAUUGAAGUUGAUGCCUCAUUGAGGCCAUAUUAGACCAACUUGUACGUUGAACCUCCCGUCAUCGGCCAUGGAAGGAUUCCAUUUAUGAACUCCCAGACCAAAUCACAUCAAACAAGUAGACUUCGAUUUGUGUCAUGAAAGAAAUCUCAUUCCUUUACUACACAGUCAACGUAAGGGCCAGCUGUCCUCAACUACUUUAACAAAUGCACUGGUUAAAUGUUGGGAAAGGUUUCUUUAUGUCUUUGUCUCUUAUCCUUAUGGUGGUUACCUGAUUCAGCCCUUGCCUGCCUUUUUGGACAUGUUGCUGCAAACAGACUGACUGUGCUUGAGAAGACUACCAGUGAUCUUGGCCUAACUUAUACCCAGGCCCACCAAGGAAUUUUGAACAGAAGCAACCUGCACCUCAGCCUACCAGGACUUAAUGUUCACAACAGGAAGGACCAUUCUGUGUAAUCCUUGACCAACAGCUUUUUCUUGUUGUUAAGUGCAGAGUAAGCCUCUACACCUGUAUUUGAUUGUUUUCAGCACCUGGGACCCCUUUGAUCAGAUCUGCAGGAGUACAGCAGAUUGAAAUCAUUGUCCAUUCCUCUCUCGUGCACUAAUACAGAGAUGAGUCUGAUUCAUCAGCACUCACAGAAAUGUACCAGUUCAACUUGGCAAAAGACUUAACACAAGAAAACUCUUCCACUGAACUUAAAAUUUACCACUGACUUGAAUAGCCUCACAGAACUGUUCACUGGUGGGAGGCUAGUUAUCCUGCUUUAUGUCAGCAAGACAGUUGGGCCUUCAGACUCAUGACCACUGAGUUUACUUAUAUUGAAACUCUGUUGUAUCAUCCAGAGUAUGCUAUUGAACAUGAUUGUUUCAUUCAAAUGGAUUACAAACUUCCUGUGAACAGGACAAACUUACUCCUCAUGAUGUUCUUCCAGAGUAUUAUCGAGGAAGUAACAAUGUUAGCAUCAACUUUAUGACCAGAGAUUAAACUUUUGCGUUAUCUGGUCUUAUCAUUGGCAGGAGUUGUUUUUGAUUGACCAGCAUCCAUUCCAUCUCUUUGUAACAACUCCCUGAUGUUUCUUGGAACCAUAUUUACCUGUUUUCAGUCCACAUGGUUCAGACCUGAUCCAUCAGCAUAGUCCAUCUCCUUGACUGUAGUGAUUGGUUCAGGAAUGUUCAUGUGAUUCAAGUUGGUCUAGUGAUACUGAAGCCCAGGAAUUUUACUGAACUGUGGAGGAGGAGAAGCUCAGAAGCUCUCUUUAUUGAAGUCGCUUAGCUUUGUAAGAUGAAAAACUCAAACCACCAGGGCCCACCAUAUCAAAUGAGCCAGUCAGAAAGUGCCAGUGCAGAAGAAAGCAGAGCCAAAUGAUGGAGAGACUUGAGUCCUGAUAACAAAGUUUGUGCCCCUGGAUCCAACCGUGCCUGAAGCUAGUAUAUCCCCUGGACUUUUCAGUUAUGUGAACCAAUAAAUACCCUGUUUUG
ensembl:lncRNA